rnacentral:lncRNA from 14 species
CCCCCCAAACCCCUCAGACCCUUCCUGACCCCCCAUUUCCCCUCAGACCCCUCCCCAUUUCCCCUCAGACCCCCCCAAACCCCCCCGGCCCCUCCCCCAUUCCCCCCUCACCUCCCCUCGCCCCAUCCCGGGGCCCCUCACGGCAGCGCCGGAAGUGACGUCAGGCGCGGGCCGGAGGGGGCGGGGCCGGGCCGAGGAGGGCGCCCCCCUGCGGACGGAGCGUGAGGGCGGCGCUGGACGCCUCGUGCCGGGAUGGGGCUGAGCGGAGCCUACAAGCAGGGUGUGUUUCCACCCCAUCCCCCCCCCAAAUUUGGGGUCUCCACCCCCCAAAUUUGGGGUCCUUCCCCCCCAGCUGGACGCUCUGGAGCCCCCUGAGACGCCGCCCCCCAAGGUACCCCCUCCCCACGCCCUUCCCUGCGUCGUGGAUGGGCUCAAACCCCCAAAAUUAACCAAAAACCCCCCAAUUUUGGGGUGUCCCCCCCCCCCAAACCCCAGCGCCCCCGCGGCGCCGCGCUCUUCGUGCUCCUCUCCAUCCUCUUCCUCCUCACCUUCCUCCUCCUCCUGCACCUGCGCGGCCGCGGCGCCGACGGCACCUGCGGGGACACCUGCAGGAUCGUGCUGGUGGAGAGCAUCCCCGAGGGCCUGGCCCUGGGCCCCCGGCUCAGCCCCUCCACCUUCGAGGCGUGGCUGGGGCUGCUGGCCGGGGCCGCGCGCAGCGUGGACAUCGCCUCCUUCUACUGGACCCUGAGCAACAACGACACCCGCACGCACGAGCCCAGCGCCGAGCAGGUGAGCACCGCUUUCUGCCUUUUUUUCCUGCUUUUUUGCACGGUUUUG